CCAUCACUACGCUAGAUGCAUAUCAAUAAGCGGAGGAAAAGAAACUAACAAGGAUUCCCCUAGUAACGGCGAGUGAAGCGGGAAGAGCUCAAAUUUGAAAUCUUAAAGGUUUCCCUUGACGAAUUGUAGUUUAAAGAAGUGUUUUCUGUUGGAGUUUCGGUAAAAGUUCUUUGGAAUAGGACAUCAUAGAGGGUGAGAAUCCCGUAUUUGACCAUUACUUUCCAACUGCUGUGAUACACUUUCAAAGAGUCGGAUUGUUUGGGAAUGCAGUCCAAAAUGGGUGGUAAAUUUCAUCUAAAGCUAAAUAUUGGCGAGAGACCGAUAGCGAACAAGUACCGUGAGGGAAAGAUGAAAAGAACUUUGAAAAGAGAGUUAAACAGUACGUGAAAUUGUCAAAAGGGAAGCGUUUGACACCAGUGUUGUUUAGUUGAAAAUCAAUUCAAUAAUUUUUGAUUUUGAGUAGUAUUGACUUCAUCAGCUUGCUGCUUUCUUUUCGGAAAUUAUUGAAUGCACUUUUCAGUUAACAAGUCAACAUCAAUUUCUUUUGUUGUAAAAGGGUAAGAGGAAGGUGGCUUACGCUUCGGCGUAAGUGUCUAUAGCCUUUUACCUCUGCAAUCGGAGAGAUUGAGGUACUAGCAGCGUAGACUCCUUCGAGGUUAGAUACACUUGUGCUAAGCUAUAGCCUUGUAUAGACAACUUGUUGACUAUGCUCAGUCAUGUAGCUUACUCGCUUGUGCUAUUUUACCUACGCUUAGGAUGUUGACGCGCGUGUGUGCGUG
rnacentral:rRNA from 1 species